rnacentral:rRNA from 1 species
GGGGAAUUUUCCGCAAUGGGCGCAAGCCUGACGGAGCAAUACCGCGUGAGGGAUGACGGCCUAUGGGUUGUAAACCUCUUUUCUCAGGGAGGAAUCAAUGACGUGUACCUGAGGAAUAAGCAUCGGCUAACUCCGUGCCAGCAGCCGCGGUAAGACGGAGGAUGCAAGUGUUAUCCGGAAUCACUGGGCGUAAAGCGUCUGUAGGUGGUCAAAUAAGUCAACUGUUAAAUCUUGAGGCUUAACCUCAAAAUCGCAGUCGAAACUAUUAGACUAGAGUAUAGUAGGGGUAAAGGGAAUUUCCAGUGGAGCGGUGAAAUGCGUAGAGAUUGGAAAGAACACCGAUGGCGAAGGCACUUUACUGGGCUAUUACUGACACUCAGAGACGAAAGCUAGGGUAGCAAAUGGGAUUAGAUACCCCAGUAGUC